UGUGGAGUCACAUAAUCUUUAAUUUAUAAAAAGCUGAAGAGAACUUUUAAGUUCUGUGGUACAAGCAGAGCAAAUUGAUCAGCAAGUGUUUUAUUUUCUCCUCAUUACAACACAGAUAGGAAAACACUCUUUGACAGAAGAAAGCAAAAAAUACAGGCUGUGGUGGGGGAAAGGAUGAUUGGGGUCCAAUCAUGACAAAAGUCUCAAGUCAAGUGGAUAUCCUUACUGGAAAAAAAAUGGAAUGGUAACUCAGAUGAACAACUUUUCCACUGACUUUCCUUCACUUUGCCUCUCUUUUAAUGGCUGCUCGACAGAGGGGAUUAUAAAGUAAUACAGCAAUUUCUCUAAGAUGAGUUUAGUCUCAGAAUGGAUUGCUAUCGACUUUUCCUUUACUUCAUAUGAUUCAAGUGAAGAAAUUUCCUCACUGAAGAGGGGGGAAAAAAGGCAAAAAAACCCCCAACUUAAAACAACAAAAGUGAAAUCAAGCAGAGUGAAAAGAAAGUGGCUUGCAGCUUUUUCAGGCCUGAGAUAAUGCAUAUGAUAAGAACUCCAGCACCAUGGAUGGGCCAGAUAAGAAAGCUGUAGAAGGAGCAAUGUUGGUGGAGUGCCAUCCUCCAUUUGGCAUGCUCUUUCUGGCUCUGAGUAACCUGAGAAACUCAGAGCCAUUUCUGUCUCUGACUAAGCUCGUCUAGUGGAAGGUUCCCUGCCCACGGCAGAGGGGUUGGAACUAGAUGAUAUUUAAGGUCCCUUCAAACCCAAACCAUUCAUGAUCGUAUGAAAACCGUGAGCAAAGCUUAUCACCAAGCUGGUUUUUUUGCUUGCAAAGAACUUGUGGAUUUGGUCUUUCACAUAAUAUCUUUUGUAAGUAGUAAGUUUAUGUGGCACCCACACAUUUAGUCUGAUUAUAUUAGUUUUCUCUUUUUCUUAUUUAAGAGUAACAACUGAAGAACCCCCCUAAUAUCAAAGAUUUUUUGAUUUUGGUCUAAGCUGGAUGCAGAAGCAUCCCUAUUCUGAGACCAGAAAAGAGCCAAAUGUCUUCUGAACAUGAAUAGCCAACCACAUAGCUGUCUACAUGCACAAGUGUUCCCAUCUGCAACUUCACUGCUCUGUGCCAGGAGGAACAAAGAAUACCAACUGACCACGCUUUGCACGGCCUGCUUCAAAGUCCUGCUCUGAGGAAAAUAAAGCAGGUACUUCAGCCCACACAGUCUGCAUCAACCUCUACCAAUGUAGAAUAAAAAUGAGGAAUUUGUGGACUCUUUUCUUGAAAAGCUAUUUAAUGUUAAAUACCUAAGCUUACCUUGGAGACCAGAUACCAUUCUCCCCUUUGCUAAUGCACACCCUACUGUGAGCUGUGGUCAUCUUUCCACUUGCUUUUUCUCCCUACAGCCUUGUGAAAUUUGUAGAGCUACUCAUCUUUUGAAGAUGAAUAGGAUGUCACUUCCUCAUUCUGUCCCAGCUUCAGGUCAUUCCAAGUUUCACAGGGUACCUAACUCAAGUGUGUGAAUGGUACCAAAGUUUAGAAGAUAAGGAACAUUUCAGAUUCAAUUGUCACCUGUUUCCUACUGUGUGGUUUCAUUGACCCUCUCGCUAGUGGAUAUUUGGGCACUUAUAGCUGCCCCAGGCUCCCUGGUCAACACACAGGAAACUCAGCAGAGUGAACUGCAUUCCUAGAGUUGGCUAACUAAAAGCUGGCUAUUUAGCAAGAUACAAUUCAGAUCCUUUCUGGUUUGAGUAUACAGAAAAGAGGAGGCUAUAAACCAUCUUUACAUAUUUAUUGUAUAUGUAGUCAGUAGUUCACACUGGCAGGGUUAUUAAUGUUCCUAAAAUAGCCUUUCACUAUUAUUGAUAGGAGAAUAGAAGAGUCCCUCCAGGGCCUUUUGGCAGCAAGCCGGAUGGCAAUGACUUGCUUAGAGUUGUAAAUUUCUUAAAUGAAGGUGGCAAACAAAAAUUUUUACCAGCAAAUACAGCUUUUUUUCCAGGCAGUGUUUAGAGUUAAAAAUAAAACUAUAUGAAGCAUACUGCAAUUUAGGUAGCAGGUGCUUUUCACUGCCUAAUUUGAAAUGGAUUAUCCAUAACUAGAUGUAUGCCUAGUGCUUUCCAAUGAGAAUCAUAGAAUCAUGGAAUAUUAAGGGGUUGGAAUGGACCUUAAAGAUUAUCUAGUCCUAACCUCCCUGCCAUGGGCAGGGACACCUCCCACUGGACGAGGUUGUUCAAGGCCUUCUCCAACUUGGCUUUGAACACUGCCAAGGUAAGGGCAUCCUCAACCUCCCAGGGCAACCUUUUUCAGUAUCUUCUCAUUCUCAUAGUAAAAAUUCUUCCUAACAUCUAACUUAAAUUUCCCCUCUUAAUUUAUACCCAUUACUCCUUGCCCUAUCCUUGUAGUUCUUGAUGAAGAGUCCCUCUCCAGCUUUCUUGUAGGCCCCCGUCUGAUACUGGAAGGUUGCUAUGAGGUCUACAUGCAACCUUCUCUUCUCCAGGCUGAACAAUGAGGACUGAAUCUUGACUAAACUGUUUACUUGUUUUGAUCAUUAGCCCAGAACAAAUGAAAAAAUCAUUACUGAAAGCCAUUACUGAUAAGGUCUGUGAGAUAGAGAUGUAAAUAACAUAAAAGACAGAAUUACUGUCUUACAGAAUUUUCAAAAAAGCCAAGUAUAAAGUCACAUAUGAAGGCACUUAUAAUUUAGACUUUGUCAAGAACAUGGAUUUCCCUUGCUAAGGCCUGGGUGAGCCUUAACCAUUUGCCAAUUAUGGGACCAAAAAAGCUCAUACAGUCUUGCAAGUACAUGCAGGAAAACAUGGAGUAGAACUAGCAAGUCUAACAUCCCUCUGUUUUAAACACUGACAGUGCUCUUAUUGAAGCACUUGCUUUACAUCUUAUAUCUGCAAUUCAAGCAGGAAGUUUUUGAGACGGUUCAGGAAAGAGUCAUUCAUAUACAUACAUAUACAUGAUUAAUGAGAAAAUUAGCAUCAUUGACAUGCAAAAGUUCCAAGAUAAGAAACAGAAAUAUGAUUACUGAGAAGGCUCUCAUCCAGAAAGUACCUGCAACAUCUGGUGAAGGUGUUUGACUGAAGGUGUAAAUUCAGGUGUGAUAUUUUAUUUAGUAGUGAGGCUAUUUAACAAAGUUAAAUAGCGACAUGGAGGGCAUAUUUUACUGUAAAUUAAGUUAAAAUUAGAUGUGGUUUUCUAAAUAUGUUCAAUUUCAAUCACAGCUAUUUGAUUUUUUUUUCUUUUUAAAGCAUUACAGAGAAUGUGAGAGGUGGAUUAUCAAAAUAUUUCCCUUUUGUGUCUAAAAUCUGUAAAACAAUCCUACUCUCCUAUUCUGGAGCGGGAAGGGGAAUGUGCUCAAAGAGAGAGACUAAAAAAUAAAACAGAGCUAAUGGCAGAGAAAUCAAUUAUGCUUUUAGAAAUCUCUCUGUUUUGUAAAUGUGAUUUAAGUAAGCAAGAUGUACUCUCACAGAAAUCAUCAGGCAGGUUGUUUUAAAGACUCACUUCAUUUCAAACUGAAUUGUGUUUUCCAUACCAAACCUAUUUGAUCCCAGGUCUCCCACAUCCAUGGAAUGAAUGCACCUCAGCUGUUGAACCACUGUCAGUGCGACCUUCAUUUCCCAGUAGUAUAGGUACUGCUGGGAUGGAAAAGAAAGAUUACAGAGCUCCAGGUUUAAAUGAUGCCUUCUGAGCAAAGUACACAAGCUGGAGAAAAGCCCCAGAAGAGGACACUUCUCUGUACUGACACUUCACACAAAAAAGGAAAUGGGAAAUUUUGGCUGAACAUCUGCUUCAGCUGUCCACAGCAAUGAUUUCAAGUCAAAAUUUCCAGCUACCAGGAGGACACUGGCAAAUACCAGCAGGUUGGGCAUGUUGGCUUAGUGAGUUGCGUUUGCUCUUGGGAUACAUACAGUAUCAGAACAAGAGAGUUAUGGAACUGCUGCACUGGGGCUUUCACUCGAGCAGAUAUUUCCAAGAGCUUAAUGUCUUCAAGGAGAUGUUGAGUUUUUUAGCCUUUAGCUGGUAGAAAGAGGCAUUUCUUGGCUACCUCAUCUACGCUCUGGCAAAGUCCUAUGCCUAAUUGUUAAUGUAGAUGUUUUUGGCAAUUCCUUCAAAUGCCAAACUGCUGAUUUGAACAUGAGAGUUGCUGGUUUCCACAUUCAAGGAUGUGUAUAUGUUAUAUCAAAGAACAUGACGCACACAUCUUGGUGGAAUUCUUUUCCACCAGGAAAUCUCUUGCCUUCUUUGAAAUCUAAGAAACUAUAAUAUGACUUCUUUAGUUUUGGACUUAGCUUCCCUAAAAGAUGGACUUCAGCCUUGACAAUUUGCCUGAGAAAAACUUACUUUCAUCAUGAACUUGCUUUCAGAAAGUCACAUGUCACAAAUGCAACUGAGCAAAAGAAAGUUUACAUUCCUCUUGCUUUGAACAGUGCAUAUCAAAGUUUCUAAUUUCAAUUGGAAUUCAUGAGUCACACAGCCGUAAAGCUCAAACAAGAUUCACCGGAAAUCUGCAUUUCUCUAUAUAAGGUGUUCAUUUUAUUGUCAUUCCUCAUAAUCAGUGACAAGCAGAAUAUCAGAAAAGUCAGAGGUAAAAAGAAUUCAUUUCUGCUUUGCAUGAUCACAGCCAAUAACUGACAGCCUCACAUGAAUUAGUUUACUGCUUCUCCUUUUUAACAUUGGUGCUUCUUUUGUCUCUGCCCUUUAUGUUCAUUUUGAUUGCUGUCUGGAAAAUUCACAACAUUCAGGAUUGGUUUCUGGUUAUUGCAAUUUGAUUUUCCCUGUGCUUGGCUAAUUGCAUCUUUCAUUUCUCACAGAUCAUUCUGUGAACAGAUGACAACAGAAAUUAGUUCCUUCAGAAAAAAUGUUUUUGCAGUCCUAGAACUCCAACCUCGUGAAAGCCUUCAAUAUAUUGUUGCACCUUUAUUUUAGAAGAAUGUUUCUACAUAUGUUUAUUUAUUUGUAAAUUCUAUCAAAAACUGAAAUUUACAAGAACUUAGCUGACUUACUGACUUAAAAACACAUAUUCUAUUAAAAGCAUAUGGGAUUGUAGAGAAACUUACGAACAUCCUAAAAUUUAAGCAAUUGCUGUUUGGAAACGGAAAGGUCUUGUGAAUAGAGUGCUCCUUUCUUUAGCCCCCUAAAUCCAAGGCUCUAAGUGUGGUCCCUUCAAACUAGCAAGAACUAACAGUGCCAAGAGAAGCUGCCUGACCACGCCACUGGCCUCUCCCUGCGCCACUACAAGUAUUUUCAUGGCCUCAUGGUAAACCAUGUUGUGCAAUGAUUGAAACUAAAUGUUCACUUGUUUGGGCUGGUUUUUGAUUGGUUGGGGUUUAAUUUUUUUUCCAAGGUUGCCUCUUCAAAACAGAGCUCUUGUACAACUUGAAAUGACAGAGAAAUUAUAGAAAAAUUAUUGGAAUAAAAAAAAAUUCUAAACUGCUGGAUAGCAAACACAACUUUGAUAACAUGGCCUCCAUACCAUAACAACCAGGACUGUCUUGCCAAGCAUAUAGCAAAUAAGUCAAACUGUAGCAAUGGUGUCUGAAUAUUUUGACUGAUUUAGCCUGGAUCAGACUUUUGCUGGUAAUACCUUCUCUUGAACCUUACUAAGUGGGCAUGCACAGGGUCUAGACACCGUCUCCCAAACUUAAAUAAAGACAGUAGGGUUUUUUCAUCUACUGUGAUCCCAAUCAGUUCCUAGUUGUGGUAAUACCACUAAAACGUGUCAUAUUU